CAGAGUAAGAUCCUGUCUCAGAGAGAGAGAGAGAGAGAGAGAUUGAGAAGAGAGAAGUGCAAGAUCACACUUCUGCAGCUCUUUUUUUCUCCUUCUGGCACAUUUUUCAUUUUCAAGACCCCACGUCCUCCAUAUAUGCUUUCCUGGCCCACCCAUUUCCCUCCUCCCCUUACACAGAUGGAGAACUUCCUUUCUGGUGUUCUCUCAGCACUCAGCACAGAUUGCUAGUGCUUUUAUGUGCUGAGCCUUUCCCUUCAACCUGGACUGAAAGAGGAUGGCAAUCUCGCUGAAGCUGUUUCUUUUUCUUCACAACAUAUAGGAAAGUGUUGCCCCUUUUUGGAGUGGUGCAUAGGACGAUGACUAUAGAUUUUCAUCUGUUACUCCUAAAACCUUACUCAGAAAGUAACAACCUCCACCGACACUACUUGAAUCAGUACUGAACGAAUGUCAGGUCCUUGGGAAAUUCUCCAAUCCUGUCUCCUGUCCUGGCCGGGUGUGCUCCUGGUGCACCAUUUGGCUAAGUCAAUUUGAACUAUUUGGGAGACCUUUGUACCUACGUUUCCUUCUGCUUGGAAGAUCCUUUCUGUUUUGUCAGCUCUUACUUCCGUGUUGUGGAAAACUGAUCUGACCUCCUAGUCCUGAAUCAGGGGCCAUAAAGAAAAUUGAUGAGGACAACUGGCCUCCCAAUAUGUGGAUUCAGUUUCCGUAUGUCAAUUUACCAACUCCCACUGGUAGUCUGAAGAGAUAUGGCUACUGGAGAACAGAAAAUCACCAGUAUUAAUAAAAGCAAUUUUAAGUGUUUACCUUUUAGUAUUUGAAUAGCUUUGUUAAAGAGACGUACUCAAGAAUACUAUGAAGAGACUCUUAUUGUACUCCUUACCUGGAGAUAAUUGUGAUGCCAGAAAUUCAAAUUUAUAUUCAACAAUAUGGUUUUUCAACCAUCAAUAUUAUAAACAUCUAGGCAGUGUCUAUUGUUUGCGCAUUUGCCAUCCUCUAAAAUGAGAUUAUUCUAAGCAUAAAUUAUACUUCAUCAUUCAAGAUUAUAAACAUUUAUAAUAAUCACAAUAUUCAUGGACAUUUCCCUGCUCUCAAAUCACUAGAGCUAAUAGGCAAAGUAGAUACAGCUACAAACAGUGGGAGAAAAUAUUUCUGGCUGACCUACAAAUAGCUGUGCAAUAAUGUAGAGAGGAAAAUAUAGUCUCACUUAUAGUGUCUGAAAUUGAGUUUCUCUCUUUAAAGGACAAAGUAAUUUUCAAAAAUAUUUGAGUAUUAUUCUGUGUAAAAAAUCUGUUUUAACUGGCUUAUUGAAUUGUAUUUCUUUAUUGUGUUUGUAUUCACUUUUCCAUUUGUGGGUGGAAUUUAUUAUAAUUACCAGUUUUAUACUGAAUGAAACAAAAAUCUCAUAGAUUUAAUAAAACUUUAAAUUCCUUGUCAUUAAUAAUAAAAUGUAUAUGCUUUCUCUAAUAAGGCCAUACUUUAUUGUUUAAAACCUGUUUUUCCUCUUUCUCAAGCACAUGGAUUGUUAAUUUAAAUUCUGAAAUAAAACCAAUUAAUCCAUAAACAUGGACUGUGGAUAAUGUUGAUAUUACAUGUAAAUUUCUCAGUGUGUGUUUCGUGGGCCCAAUAGCAUCAGCAUUAGCUGGGGACUUAUGAGGUGGCAUGUGCCUGUAGUCCCAGCUACUCAGGAGGCUGAGGCAGGAGAAUCGCUUGAACCUGGGAGGUGGAGGUUGGAGUGACCGAGAUCGUGCCACUGCACUCCAGCCUGGGCAAAAGAGCGAGACUCUGUCUUAAAAAUAAUAAUAAAAAUAAAAUAAAAUAAAAUUUGCAAAUGUAUCCCACCCCAGGCCUAUUGAAACAAAAAGUCUGUUGGUACGGUUUAGCAAUAUGUCUUUCAACAAGCCCUUCUGGGCAACUCUAAUGCAUGCUAAAGUUUGAGAACCACUGGUCUGUGGCUUUCCAGGAUACUCAGGUGCUGUAUUAUCUUAUUCCCUACAGGGAAUACCUUUGUUCAAGUGGAAGUAUGCACACAGUGUGUAAGGAGGUGGGUUGAAUCUUUCUACAAAUGUUUUAAAUAAGUCACCUGCCUCAUAUAUGUGGACUAGAUUAUUUAGAUAUUUGGAUCCAUACUGGGCCUUAACCCUACUUCUGAUUUACAGAUAAGAAAUCCCUACCCUAUUUUAUUAUGUGUUGUGUUUGGCCCAUUGGUAAUUUUUUUUCUCUCUUUAGACUCAAUUUUAACUAUUUGUUGCAAUCUAAAAAUGGAGGCCUUAUCUUAAUAGUUUAUUUAAUUUUGCAAGAUAUACUAUAGGACAGGAAGUAUGCCUGAUUCUUUUACAUAAAUUUGAUAUCAGUGAUGCCUCAAAACAGUUCUUCACGUUAACUAUCAUUAUUUUUGUAGCUUUAAUGCGUUAAAACUUACUCAGUAUAAAAGCCACCUACUUAAAAUGUACAACUCAAAAAUUUUCAGUAAAUUAAUAAAGUUGUGAAGCCAUGACCACAGUGCAAUUUUAACACAUUUCCAUUGUGCCAAGAAGAUCCCUCAUGCUCAAUUCCAACCAGUUCCCACUGCCACCCCCAGUAUCAGACACGACAAUCUGCUGUCUCUACAUUUCAGGACAUUUAGUGUAAAUACAAUUACACAAUAUGUGGUCUUUGUGUCUGGCUUCUUUCACUUAUUAUGUUUUUGAAGUUUAUCCAGGUAGCUUGUAUCAAGCUUUUGUUCCUUCUUUUUUGUUGAAUAACAUUUUAUUUAUCCAUUAAUUAAUGUACAGACAUUUGGGAUAUUUUCAGUUUUAGGUUCUUAUGAAUAAUGUAUCUAUGAAUAUUUACAUACAAUUCUGUAAGAAUACAUAAUUUUUAAUUUGUUUGAAUAGUAGAGCUGUUGAGAUAUAUGGUAAGUUUAUGUCUAACUUCAUAAGAAAUUGCCAAACCAUUUUCCAAUGUGGCUGUACAUUCUCACCAGCAAUGUAUAUAUGUUUCAAUUUCUCCACAUUGUCUUCAACACUUUCUAUAGUCUAUCAUUUGAUUAUAGCCAUUCUAUGAAUAUAAAGUUAUCGUGGUGGCUUUAAUUUGCAUUUUUCUAAUGACUAAUGGUAAUGAACAUUUCAUAGGUUCAUUAGUCAUUUGCUUAUACCUACUUAAAUAUUUAGCCUAUUUUUACUCGGGAGGCGGAGCUUGCAGAGAGCGGAGAUGGGGCCACUGCCCUCCAGCCUGGGCGACAGAGCCAGACUCCGUCUCAAAAACAAAAAACAAAUAAACGUUUAGCCUACUUUUAGAAUGGGUUGUUGUUUUUCUCAUUAUAUAGUUCUAUAAGUUAUUUAUGCAGUUUGGAUAAAUGUUCAUUAUCAGAUAUAAUUUUUACAAAUAUUUUCUAUCAGAUUGUGUUAUUUUUAAUUUUCCAGUGUGGUCUUUAGAAGCACCAGAGUUUUUAAUUUUGAUAAAGUGUAAUUUAACCAUGACCAUUCUUUUAUAGAUUUUGAUUUUAGUGUGUCCGAAAACUGUUGGCUAACCCCAAAUCAUGAAGAUUUCCCUUCAUGUUUUCUUCUGGAAAGUUUAUAGUUUGGGUGCUUAUAUUUGGAUCUAUGAUUUAAUUUGACUUAUUUUUGUAUAUGCCGCCAGGUGACAGUCUAUUUGCUUUCUGUGUGUCUAAUUCUUUUGUAAUCUUCUAGUCUUGUUUUAUUAUUUCUUGUGGGUUAAGUAGAAUUUUUCUAGUGUACUAUUUUUAAUUCCUUUGAUGUUUUCUUGUUUCAUUGUUUUGAUUUGUUUUGUGUUUAAUAUUUUAAGUUAUAUCCUUUUUAAAAGUUAUUUUUAAUAGAAAUAAAAUUGUAUAUACUUAUCAAGUACAGUAUGUUGUUUUUUGAAAGAUGUAUAUAUUGUGGAUAUGUAUACAAUGGCUAAAUCGAGCUAAUUAACAUAGGUGUUACCUCACAUAUCACUUUUUGUGGUAAGAAUAUUUAAAACUCCUCACGGCAUUUUUUCAAGAAUACAAUACACUGUUAUUAACUAUUGUCACCACAUUUUACAACAAAUCUCUUCAAUUUAUUUUUUCUAACUGAAAUUUUGUAUUCACUUGGCCAACAUCUCCCCAACCACACCCACCUCCCCAGCUCCUGGUAAUCAUCAUUCCCGCUCUACUUCGAUGAGUUCAGCUCUUGUAGGUUUCACAUACAAGUGAGAUCAUGUGGUAUUUGUCUUUC